GCCUGACUAGCUCACUUGGUAGAACAUGGGACUCUUAAUCCCAGGGUUGUGGAUUUGUGUCCCACAUUGGGUG
rnacentral:tRNA from 1 species